AUGGACAGGUACAUAUUAGAUGCUAGGGAGCUACCAAUAUUAUCAAUGCUUGAAAGAAUUAAACAACAAUUGAUGCAGAGGCACUACAACAAGCAGAUAGAAGGAGAUAAGAUGAAAGGAGACAUAUGCCCUAAGAUCAAGAAAAAGGUUGAUAAGCUAACUGAAUGGGCAAACACCUGUUAUGUUGAUGGGGCUGGUGAUGGAGUCUUUCAGGUUGGUGAUAGAGGGACUGACUACAUUGUUGACUGGCACAGUAGUGAGUGUACCUGCAAGAGGUGGCAGAAGGGUGGCACACCAUGUGUACAUGCUAUAGCAUGUGCUAGACAUGAGAGAGUUGAUCCCCUCCUACUGGUGAACCAAUGCUAUUCUGUUGGGAUGUUCAAGAAAGCAUACAAGAACAUCAUCUAUCCCUGCAGAGAUAAGACAGAAUGGGAGAGGAUGAAUGGACCCCCAAUCAAGCCACCAUUGUACACCAAGCAGGUAGGCAGGCCAUGCAAGAGCAGAAGAAAGGCCCCCCAUGAAGUUUCUUGCAGCAAUGGUGGCAAAAAAAUGUCAAGGCAUGGUGUGAUCAUGCAUUGCAACUAUUGUGGAGAGCCAGACCACAACAUCAAAGGCUGUAAGUACCUCAAGGAUGGUUUGCCCCCUCCAAAUGUGCAAGCUCCACCACAACCACAUGCAGAAGGUGCUCCAAAUGUGGAAGUUGAUCCAAAUGUGGAAGCUAGUAAUGCAGAAGGUGCUCCAAAUGUAGGAGAUGAUGAGCAAGUCAUUACUCAGGUAUGUCUUUCAUCAUUUCUACUGAAGGUUUUCUAG
rnacentral:rRNA from 1 species